UUUAUUAUUGGUAAAUAUUCAUCAACAAUUAUCGAUGUAUUUUUUCGUUGAUAAUUAUCUAUUAGUAAAUAUUCUUUGAUAAUUUACUUACUUAUGUUUUUUCAUUAGUAAAAUAGUCAAUAAAUAUGUUACGUGGUCUUUAUUUUUUUCUUCCUCCUCUUAUUCUUCUUUUUUUCCUUCUUCUUUUUCUUCUUUAUCUUCUUCUUCUUCCUCCUCCUCUCUCAUCAUCGUUGUCAUUUUUAUAGUUGCAUAUGUUAUUAUUAUCGUCGCCUCUCCUUCCUUUUCUCCUUCCUUUUCUCCUUCUCAUUCUUUUCUUUCUUGUCUUCUUCCUUUUUCUUCUUUUUUUUCUUCUCAACUCUUCCUUUUCUUCUAUCUAUUUUUUUC
rnacentral:lncRNA from 1 species